rnacentral:rRNA from 1 species
UACAGAGGUCUCAAGCGUUGUUCGGAUUCAUUGGGCGUAAAGGGCGCGUAGGCGGCGGGGUAAGUCGGGUGUGAAAUCUCAGAGCUCAACUCUGAAACUGCACUCGAUACUGCUCUGCUUGAGGACUGGAGAGGAGACUGGAAUUCACGGUGUAGCAGUGAAAUGCGUAGAUAUCGUGAGGAAGACCAGCGGCGAAGGCGGGUCUCUGGACAGUUCCUGACGCUGAGGCGCGAAGGCCAGGGGAGCAAACGGG